CAAGACGUGGCUGAACAGUUAAGCAUCUCACUUACACCGAGAAAACAUCCGUGCAAAUCGGAUCGUCCUGA
ensembl:Mt_tRNA